GUGUCAGCAGCCGCGGUAAGACGUAGGGUGCGAGCGUUGUCCGGAAUUAUUGGGCGUAAAGAGCUCGUAGGCGGCUUGUUGCGUCGGCUGUGAAAACCCGCGGCUCAACCGUGGGCUUGCAGCCGAUACGGGCAGGCUAGAGUUCGGUAGGGGAGACUGGAAUUCCUGGUGUAGCGGUGAAAUGCGCAGAUAUCAGGAGGAACACCGGUGGCGAAGGCGGGUCUCUGGGCCGAUACUGACGCUGAGGAGCGAAAGCGUGGGGAGCGAACAGGAUUAGAUACCCUGGUAGUCCACGCUGUAAACGUUGGGCGCUAGGUGUGGGGGACCUCUCCGGUUCUCUGUGCCGCAGCUAACGCAUUAAGCGCCCCGCCUGGGGAGUACGGCCGCAAGGCUAAA
rnacentral:rRNA from 1 species